GCCGCGGUGGUGUAAUGGUAGCCACGAGGGACUUAAAAUCCCUUGGUCGUAAGGCCGUGCGGGUUCGAGUCCCGCCCGCGGUA
rnacentral:tRNA from 1 species